CCACCUCUCCGGUUGAAGAUGCUCAUGCGAGUUCGAAGAAAAGAAAAAUUCAUUUCACACUCGUUGAGAGCAUCUUCAACCGGAGAGAAAGUUCAUAAAACAAAAACCCUCACCACCACCAAGCCCAUCGCACAACUUCAAUAACACAUAAAAUCAAUGGCCGAGAACCUCGACGUCAACGCCAAAUGGGACGCCUGUCUCGAUCUUACGGUCCGUCGCUUCGUUUACUCUUCCUUGGCUGGGGCCUUUAGCGGUCUCCUUUUCUUCAGGACUCCGGUGACUCGUUGGGCAUCAGUGGCAUUUGGUGCUGGAGUGGGCAUUGGAUCUGCUUACACUGAGUGUUCUCGUAUUUUUUAUGGAUCUCCUACAAAGUUGGCAUCUCCUAAGCCGUCAAAUGCUCCAGCGCAAGAGACAUGAGGAUGACAAGGAGCAACUUGCGAUUUGAAGUUACAAUCAAGAUUUUCUUGAAAUUGAGUUUGCUAUUGGCUUUUUGACAAUGUAGUUCAAAUAUUGGUGUUGAUGGAAAUUUAACUUUAACCUGAUCUCUGAUAAAUUUGCAGUGAUUUCUGUUAGCUUGUGUCUUUACUGCGGUAAAUUUGCAGUUGGGGAAGGGAAAAGGAAAUAAUUGCUUAAGUUGAUAACAUUUGUUAACAUCUCAAUACUAGUACCCCUCUUGAGCCAUUUUAAACAUGAGCGUAAUCAAGCUGCCAAUAACUUCUUUAGAUAAACAAGGUGCUGCUUUAUUAUUAUAUUAAAAUUUUAAAAAACAUGUAUGUAUUUUAAGUGUCUAGAGAAGUAUGUUGAAUGUUUAGCUUAAUUGAGAAGUUUCUUUGAGAACUUAUAAACAAGCUUACAAUCAGAAAACAUAUGUAAUAAUGAGGGUAUUCAAAAACACCCAAACCAGGGCAAUUCGCAAUUAAGCAGCUAGUUCAAUUGUUAGCUAAUCGAGUAUGAUUAUGACAAACUGUAUUUUGUGGAUUGGGUUGAAUGUUAAAUCAAUGUAUAUAAUUGAUCCGGUCCAAUCCAAUUCGUAAAUAAUAAAAAUGACGUACUGUUUUAUAUAU
rnacentral:misc_RNA from 1 species